UACGUAGGGUGCAAGCGUUGUCCGGAAUUAUUGGGCGUAAAGAGCUCGUAGGCGGUCUGUUGCGUCGGCUGUGAAAACCCGGGGCUCAACUCCGGGCCUGCAGCCGAUACGGGCAGACUAGAGUUCGGCAGGGGAGGACUGGAAUUCCUGGUGUAGCGGUGAAAUGCGCAGAUAUCAGGAGGAACACCGGUGGCGAAGGCGGGUCUCUGGGCCGAUACUGACGCUGAGGAGCGAAAGCUAGGGGAGCGAAUGGG
rnacentral:rRNA from 1 species